UGUGCUAAUACCGCAUAAUCUCUCAGGAGAAAAGCAGGGGAUCGCAAGACCUUGCGCUUUAGGAGCGGCCGAUGCCUGAUUAGCUUGUUGGUAAGGUAAAAGCUUACCAAGGCUUCGAUCAGUAGCUGGUCUGAGAGGACGACCGGCCACACCGGGACUGAGACACGGCCCAGACUCCUACGGGAGGCAGCAGUGGGGAAUUUUGGACAAUGGGGGAAACCCUGAUCCAGCCAUGCCGCGUGAGUGAAGAAGGCCUUCGGGUUGUAAAGCUCUUUCAGCCGGAACGAAACGGU
rnacentral:rRNA from 1 species